rnacentral:rRNA from 1 species
UACGUAGGGAGCAAGCGUUGUUCGGAUUUACUGGGCGUAAAGGGCGCGUAGGCGGCAUAUUAAGUCAUCUGUGAAAUCUCCGAGCUUAACUCGGAACUGUCAGCUGAUACUGAUGUGCUAGAGUGCGGAAGGGGCAAUCGGAAUUCUUGGUGUAGCGGUGAAAUGCGCAGAUAUCAGGAGGAACACCAAUGGCGAAGGCAGCUCGCUGGGACGUGACUGACGCUGAGACGCGAAAGCGUGGGGAGCAAACAGG